GGCGGCGUAGCUCAGUUGGUCAGAGCACGCGGUUCAUACCCGCGGAGUCGCUGGUUCGAGUCCAGCCGCCGCUACCA
rnacentral:tRNA from 1 species